ensembl:snoRNA
AGGCACUUCAUUGACCUGCUUUCUUUAUAUGUGAACAGUGUUAUUUUUUAUGUGCUAUAUAAAUAGCUAAAGGUUAAUUAGCAGCAUAACUAUAAAUAGUAAAGGUGCCAGUCUUCUUAAGGCAAAA